CAGGGUUUGAUCCUGGCUCAGGACGAACGCUGGCGGCGUGCCUAAUACAUGCAAGUAGAACGCACAGGAUGCACCGUAGUUUACUACACCGUAUUCUGUGAGUUGCGAACGGGUGAGUAACGCGUAGGUAACCUGCCUGGUAGCGGGGGAUAACUAUUGGAAACGAUAGCUAAUACCGCAUAAGAACAUUUACUGCAUGGUAGAUGUUUAAAAGGUGCAAAUGCAUCACUACCAGAUGGACCUGCGUUGUAUUAGCUAGUAGGUGAGGUAACGGCUCACCUAGGCGACGAUACAUAGCCGACCUGAGAGGGUGAUCGGCCACACUGGGACUGAGACACGGCCCAGACUCCUACGGGAGGCAGCAGUAGGGAAUCUUCGGCAAUGGGGGGAACCCUGACCGAGCAACGCCGCGUGAGUGAAGAAGGUUUUCGGAUCGUAAAGCUCUGUUGUUAAGGAAGAACGAGUGUGAGAGUGGAAAGUUCACACUGUGACGGUAUCUUACCAGAAAGGGACGGCUAACUACGUGCCAGCAGCCGCGGUAAUACGUAGGUCCCGAGCGUUGUCCGGAUUUAUUGGGCGUAAAGCGAGCGCAGGCGGUUAGAUAAGUCUGAAGUUAAAGGCUGUGGCUUAACCAUAGUACGCUUUGGAAACUGUUUAACUUGAGUGCAGAAGGGGAGAGUGGAAUUCCAUGUGUAGCGGUGAAAAUGCGUAGAUAUAUGGAGGAACACCGGUGGCGAA
rnacentral:rRNA from 1 species